rnacentral:lncRNA from 1 species
GUACAGUACCAUACAGAAGUGGUGCACUAAAACUGUAGCUGAGAAUUGCUCUGCCACAAUUCCAAUAAUAUUUAAUGCAUUAGUUACCCGGAAGUGUUUUAAUUCUGGCCUCUGCUAGGACCUUCCGCAAUGCAGGCACUGGAACUGCCUGCCAUAUCAAUUCUCAGUAUGGGAGGAGGGUGUAAAUUUUAAAUGAAAUUUUGAGAUUGACAAUAUAUCAUCUAGGCAGCAGAAAACAGAACAAGUUACUUUGGUCUGAAAGCAUUCAACUAGGAUUUGUAAAUGAUAACCUAAAGUGAUUCAUGAUUUCUGUAUAUUACAGAAUGGUCAACAAGACUGGUUCUGUGUGAUUCAUUCCCCAGCUGCUGCUCAGGAAAGGGACGAAGUGCAGUGCCUGGCAUCCAGCAAGUGCUCAAGAGAUAUUGGUGAAUGAGUUACUGAAUGCAUAAAUGAAUGCAACAGCUGGAAGGGCCAAGAGAUAAUCUAACACAGGCAUUACACUGGUGAAGAUGGAAACAGCAGACCAUUAGUGAUGAUAUUCAAAGAAGAAGCAGUUUCCUUACUCCUACUUUCCACCUCAACAACACACAAAAACAGGGCCAAGGGAUAUCUCUUCUCUCCUGCAUAAAAACAAGAGGCCUCUUCUCUUCCCUCUGAGAUUUGACUCCACCCUCACGGCCUUCAAGGCCCUCAGGGACUGCUGGC